GAUGAAUGCUGGCGGCGUGCCUAACACAUGCAAGUCGAGCGGUAACGGGCCUUCGGGUGCCGACGAGCGGCGGACGGCUGAGUAACGCGUGGGAACAUACCCCAAAGUGAGGGAUAACCGCCCGAAAGGGUGGCUAAUACCGCAUAUGGUCUUCGGAUUAAAGGAUUUAUCCGCUUUGGGAAUGGCCUGCGUACGAUUAGAUAGUUGGUGAGGUAAUGGCUCACCAAGUCGACGAUCGUUAACUGGUUUGAGAGGAUGAUCAGUCAGACUGGAACUGAGACACGGUCCAGACUCCUACGGGAGGCAGCAGUGAGGAAUCUUCCACAAUGGGCGAAAGCCUGAUGGAGCAACGCCGCGUGCAGGAUGAAGGCCUUCGGGUUGUAAACUGCUUUUAUAAGUGAAGAAUAUGACGGUAACUUAUGAAUAAGCACCGGCUAACUACGUGCCAGCCGCCGCAGUAACA
rnacentral:rRNA from 1 species